UACGGAGGAUCCGAGCGUUAUCCGGAUUUAUUGGGUUUAAAGGGUGCGUAGGCGGGAGAUUAAGUCAGCGGUGAAAGUUUGCAGCUUAACUGUAAAAUUGCCGUUGAAACUGAUUUUCUUGAGUGUAAAUAAGGUAGGCGGAAUGUGUUGUGUAGCGGUGAAAUGCAUAGAUAUAACACAGAACCCCGAUUGCGAAGGCAGCUUACCGGGCUACAACUGACGCUGAGGCACGAAAGCGUGGGGAUCAAAC
rnacentral:rRNA from 1 species